CGUUGAAACAGCUGUUCUCGUAUGAUCAAUGAAGUUAAGCAAAGUCGGGCCUGGUCAGUACCUCGAUGGGUGACUGGUUGGGAAUAUCAUGUGCAGUAAG